CAGAAACAUCUUCCCCCAUUUGUUAUUUUCUCUGGUUUGUUCUUCAAGCUGAAGAACAACCACCCCAUUUUCCAGAUUCCGGUCGUUGCGCCGCCUUGCCAGCCGCCGUUGAACGGCGCCAACCGCCGCUCACCGGCGACAAAAUAUAAAAAGUUUCUGUUUUUUUUAAAAGCCCUUCGUAUACUCGUUCCAAAAAUCUAAAUAGUUUUUUUAGAUCAAGCCUCGAAGAGAGUAGAUCUACGAACGAAGGUUCGAAAAAUCCUCCCUCCUCUGUCAUUGGCUUUUUGUUUCGAAUCAACCAAAAUGGAGUAUAAACGACAUGCAUGCAAGAGAACGAACCGAAAGCAAGGAUUCUUGCAAGACGACCUUUUACUGGAUUGAAGGAAAGGCUUAAAGCUAAAGAACUGGAAGAAGAUGAUCUUACCUAAAAGAGCUUCGGGUUGUGAUAAUCGCCAUUGUUUCUAGGGUUUUUUUAGUGAAUUGCUUUGCAUUUUGUCUGUGUGAGUAUAAUAAAACUAUUGGUUUAGGAAAUGUUUUACUUGUUUGGCUUUAAAUUUUUUGAACUUCGCCGAUGAUUAUACUGUGCUUUUUUU